AUGGCCUGGGGGCACUGGGCCCCUGGGUCCUCCAGACCACUGACAUCUCUUUAAAUAACUCAGCUCGGCCCUGGUUCUCCUCUCACCGGUGGCAUUGUCUGUGUGACGAGAACUGCUUAAGCUGUGCAGGCUCCAGCAGGAACUGCAGCAGGUGUAAGACGGGCUUCACACAGCUGGGGACCUCCUGCAUCACCAACCACACAUGCAGCAACGCUGACGAGACAUUCUGCGAGAUGGUGAAGUCCAACCGGCUGUGCGAACGGAAGCUCUUCAUUCAGUUCUGCUGCCGCACGUGCCUCCUGGCCGGGUAAGGGUGUCCAGCUGCCCACAGAGGGCAG
rnacentral:sRNA from 1 species